rnacentral:misc_RNA from 1 species
GUCCAUAUUUCGGUUGUGGCAUCCCAUGCCCAUACUGCUGAAAAACCCCUCCGUCAGUGGUAGCGUCAUGUGAAUCUCUUCCAGAGUUCAGAUUCUUAAUCGAACCAUCGGUAGCAUCAGAAGAUCCAUGCUUUUCCAGAGUCUGGUCCAGUUCUUUUGGAACAUCAUCACAGGCAUCUUUGUCUGGUUUAACUGUUGCAUCAGCUGAUUUGGCAGCAGAUUUAGGCUUCAAAAAAGUGUCAUCUUCCUCUUUCUUGACAGUUCUUUUGUCCAUAAGCUCAUCUGAAUCACCCCUACGGACAUCUAUAUCACUGCUGGCCCUCUGUCUGUACUCAUCAUCAAUUGAUUUGGCUGGAAGAGAAUUUAGAUCCUUUUGAGCAUUGUCCUGGGAAGGAACUCCCGCUUCUUUCCUUCCAGCAGUUUUGUCAGGUAACAGAUCACCUUUACUUUCUAGGGCUAACCGUUUCUUCUGAUCCACCAACUCAUGCUCAUUGCCCGUGUAGUUCCCAUAACUUGGAUUUAUUUGCGGCUGGCUUAAAGCAGGCUGGACAGGUCUAACCUGGGCUGUAGUAUUAUAUCCACCAUGAGCCUGUGAAAUCGACUGGACAUGAUUUUGCAUCCCAGGCCUUCCUAUAUAUGCUUGAGAUUGUUGAGGCUGUGGAGGAGGUGGUAAGGUGGCAUUUUGCUGCGGUUGAAUAUACCCAUGCAAACUUUGAGGCACCACAUUAGGAAGACCUUGUGGGCGAAAUUGGGACUGCAACGGCUGCUGGUGAGUAAAAUGACCUUGCUGGUGAGAUUGGCUUGGAAAUGGACCAGGAAAUGUAUGAUGAUGACUGUACUGUUGAGACAUUGGCUGUUGAUUAGACUGACCAGGAUGUUGCUGAAUUGAGUGUCCUGCUUGCUGAGCAAUAGGAUAAAGUUGAGAUUGUGCAGGAACUUGACCUUGAGAAGGUACCAGCCCCGGUUGCUGAUUGCCGAUUAGACCCAGAGGUGGGCGCAUUAAGGGAGGUUGAGGAACCUGACCAUGAGUUUGAACCAGACUCAUAGACCCACUAGUAGGAUGCGGGUACAUUGGAGGUUGCUGUGACAUCCCUAUAGCCACUUGCUGCGUAAGCUGGGGUUGUGGAUAGGAAUGGAAACCUGAAACUGCAUUGGCUGUUGAAGGGAGGGUCUGACCCUGUGCAUGAGCAGGCUGGCCGACCUGAGGAGGGCGCAAUUGGCCAUGAGAUUGUGGAUGAUGUUGCACAUUUAUUUGCGGCUGGAGUUGUGAAUGAGGUUGUGCUUGCACAGGAGGAUGUGGUUGGGCUUGAGAGGAUGGAGGGGGAUGAACCUGGGCAGGAGGCUGCUGAUACUGUGGCACUUGCACAUAUUGUUGUGAAUGAGGCUGCAUUGAAUAGGUCUGUGAAUAUGGCGGAGGCUGAGUAGGUGGAUGAGCACGAGAAGCUGGAUAUAUUUGUGAUGGAAUUUGGGCAUGAGGUUGCAUAGUAGGUGGGAGCUGCUGUACUGGGUUGACUUGAACCUGAUUUUGAUGCUGUUGUGCCAGAGGUUGAACCUGUGGUUGAGUUGGCCCUUUAGGUAGAGCUUGCAUUUGAGUAUGAGAUUGAGGAUUAAGUGGCUGCGGCUGGGGCUGCGGCUGGGCUGGGGCCGGGGUCUGGGGUUGUGCUGGUGGCUGCAUGUAAAUGUGAGGUUGUUGCUGAUAUUGUUGGAGGGACUGUUGCUGAUAAGGAUAGUAUUGUUGAUAAGUUUGUUGUUGAUAAGGCUCAUAUCCAGCAUAUUGCUGAUAAUACUGCUGAUACUGUUGCUGAUACCACUGCUCUGAAGUAGGCACACCAGCUGAAGCAGUAGCAAGAGCCUGAGAGCUGGCACUUGUUUGCUGAUUGGGAUCUUGUCCAGGAAGCAGAGAAGCAGUUGUGGUUUGAGGGUUUGGUGUCUGUGAUGCCGGAGUUCCUGAAUGAGCCUUAGUUUUAUUCAAGUCGGUACCAGCAGCAGUGGUGGCUGCACCAGAGCUAGGAUUAUCCUCGGCACCAUGAGUUGCCUGUUGUGCAGGAUAUACACCAGGGCAACUCAGGGCAUGCUCAUGCACUUGUCGAUGCACAAUCUGGACUCCACAUCUAUUGCAUACAACUGGGGAGUCGCCAAAGGAACAGCCAGAACAAUGGGAAGUGCAAUCAGAGAAGGAACCUUCCCAUGUGCAUCCACUUCUGUGAUAGAGACAACGCACUUUAACUCUGCCUAUGCUUUCAGCAAGUUUCUUGUCCGACUCGAUAAGGGCUUUAGAGUCUGCUUCAGUCACCAAGUAUCCAUCAUAAGGACAGGCUCGGCUCCCAUUGGCAACAUGUGCCAGACAAGGUUUGCAGUAGAGAUGGGUGCACUGUGAUUGGACGGCUUCAUUAGGAAAUAUGAGUGUGCGACAAACAGGACAGAAAUACUCU